rnacentral:rRNA from 1 species
AUUGAACGCUGGCGGCAGGCCUAACACAUGCAAGUCGAACGGUAACAGGAAACAGCUUGCUGUUUCGCUGACGAGUGGCGGACGGGUGAGUAAUGUCUGGGAAACUGCCUGAUGGAGGGGGAUAACUACUGGAAACGGUAGCUAAUACCGCAUAACGUCGCAAGACCAAAGAGGGGGACCUUCGGGCCUCUUGCCAUCGGAUGUGCCCAGAUGGGAUUAGCUAGUAGGUGGGGUAACGGCUCACCUAGGCGACGAUCCCUAGCUGGUCUGAGAGGAUGACCAGCCACACUGGAACUGAGACACGGUCCAGACUCCUACGGGUGGCAGCAGUGGGGAAUAUUGCACAAUGGGCGCAAGCCUGAUGCAGCCAUGCCGCGUGUAUGAAGAAGGCCUUCGGGUUGUAAAGUACUUUCAGCGGGGAGGAAGGGAGUAAAGUUAAUACCUUUACUCAUUGACGUUACCCGCAGAAGAAGCACCGGCUAACUCCGUG